AUACCAGAUGGAUUACAAAACUAUUUUAUUCAUUCAAGGUAGGCUUAUUGAACUUAGUUUUGAAAAAAAAAAAAUGAUGUUAACAUAUAAACUAAAAAAAAAAUACAUUUUUUUGUGAGUUAGAGGAUUUUCAAAGAAAUUCCUUUAGGCGCUUCAUGCGGGUCAUUCCGUAGUUCACUGAACUUGGUUUUAUUAUUUACCUAUGAAAUACACCAGUUGUAAGAACUUUAAAAUGGAUUUAAAUAAAAAUUUUAAUGGACACAUAUUUAGAUUCAACAUCAUCAAAUUGAGUUUGCUCAAUAAUUUUCCAAUCUUAGAAUAUUAUCUUAUUGAAUGAUCAACUUCACCCCGGAUUAAAAGUUUUCAAAUUUGUCCCUUUGACCCUUUUUUACCAAAUGUUGCAUUUUUUUUUUUUGUAAGAAUGUUGUUUACGGAACUUGAUGCAUGUCCCUGCAGUACAUGAUUUGGAAUGAUUUGUUUGGAAUCAUAUGAUUAUAUUGGAAAUAAUAGAUGAAACCCCCAAAUUAAAUACGGUAUAUAAAGAGAUUGAUAUUGUAAGUGGAUUUGCUAACUGAACACGACGAAUCAGAACCGUCGUUUUUGGAAUCGCCGUUCGAAUCGCCGUUGGAAUCGUCGUUCGAAUGUAGGGUAAACAGGUAUUAUAUGCCCCCCCCCCCUAAGCAGAAAUGGCAAUAUAUCUAAAAUUGGCGCCUUAUUCCAUCCAUUGUCCACUGCAAAUUGUUGUUUCUAAAGUCAGUGAAGUGUUGCAUGGGAACUUUGCCUUUGGAGUGACGGCUAUGGAAGCUUUGAAACUUUUUUCGAAAACGUUCCAAAAUUUACCUUAUCAAAACAAACGGGGCAACACGCCCCAUCAAAAGAAAAACGUCCAGCCCCGUGAUAAAACUGUACCAAGGAUUAAUUCCACCACAUGCUCAUCCUAGGAGGGUCUUUUAACAAGUGUUCAACUGCAUAAAAGUUGCAAAAUAACUCAAGCGAACAGAACUAGCUUCGUUUACAAUGAAGUCAGUUUACAAGAGGUAAAAUAUUACGCCAAAAGCCUCGAUUUCAGACUUUUUUAUAUUUUUAUUGCUUUUCUGUACCAAUCAACUAACGGACCAGCUUGAUGGCAAUUAUUCUUCAGUAUUUAAGAUCUCUAAUCGAUCAUGCAUGCAAAAAGCGCUUGAAUCGCUAGAAAAUUAAGGGGGGCGUUUUGCCCCGGUGGGGCGUAUUAUACCCUUUUACCCUAGAGCGAGACAGCAACCAAACUGAUACAUCGCUUUGACAUAUUUAACGUAGGAGCAACACGUGCGUGAGAUUUUCUCUCUCGGUUGGUGUGGUUUGUUUUGAUUCAAUCUGACAUUUCUUUUUUGCUGCUCAUGCUGACGAUGCUGCCAGCUGAUGAUGGUAAGGAUGGAGGAGCAUAGUCGGAGGGGUGCUCCAAUGUGUUUUCCGAAGAAUUCGUCGAGAUAAAAAGUUUUCGUUAUAAAAAAUAUGGAAAAUUCUAGUUCAAAAGUUCAGCAUUAAACAUUUUCAAUGCGUGUUACGUAUAUUAUUUUACAGAGAAUCAGUCUAGAGGUCGUUUAACGUAAUAAGAGCAUUAGCAUAAAAGUCUAUAGUUUUACAAGAACGCAUUGAAACGCCCCUUGAAAUUUAACGGCGGUUCCCAACCAGCUCAAGCAAAUUCCCUUGGAAUUCAUCUUCGAGGUAAAAUCACAAUACAGUGAAGCGAAUAAAAUACAAUAAGUUGUGAUAGGCCAGAUACGCAGCGCGUAUGCCAGAAGAAUGACAAACUAAAACUAUAUUCAUCAGAGUACCAGGAAGGGGCCGUCCGUCGACUUCGUGGAAAGUCGCACGCGCGUUUUUAUUUUUGUAGUUGAUGAUGCCCUUUUAAUGACUGAAAACCGAAAAGUAUGGCAACGCUGUUUACCAUGUAAGGAAUAACAUCAUCCUCCGCAUUCCGUGAGUACAUUUUCUGCAUUCAAGACGAAGCCAAGUCAAACGCAUCCUCGUGCUGGCGAUUCAUAAAGAACAGGAAAAGUUCGCAAUCGGUUCCAUCUGUCUUUUGUGUUUUCAGGUUUUCGGUAAGAAGGUUGCGAUGGAAUGACCCACGGAGACUACCUCAAUACGAACAGCGAUGUCAGCUGAUGCAACUGGAAACUCUUCGUGAAAGACGUAAGCUCCUACAGAUGAUGUUCGCAUUCGACAUUUUAUGCAACCGUUUGGGCUGUCCAGGUCUUCCGCAUCAAGUUCAUUUCUAUGCUCCGGCUCGUCGUUUAAGUCACCGUCAAUUGUUCUGGGUUGCUCGGCAUUCGACAGCGUAGGUAUGGUUAGCAUCACCCAUUUGAGAGAUGUGUUUGCUUGUUAAACAGUGUACGCGUGGUUUGAUUUUAAUUUAAGUAGUACAAAUUUCAAAACUAAGGUUAGGCAAAUAAUUUAAGUAAUCAAACAAUCUGUACAGCUAAAGCGGAAGAUUAAGACUAUUAUAUUAAGAUUAAAUAAAUUAAUAAAUUGAA